UACAGAGGGGGCAAGGCGUUGUUCGGAAUUACUGGGCGUAAAGGGCGCGUAGGCGGCCUUCUAAGGUCGAACGAUGAAAUCCCUGGGCUCAACCCAGGAACUGCGUCCGAUAACUGGAAGGCUUGAAUCCGGGAGAGGGGAUGCGGAAUUCCAGGUGUAGCGGUGAAAUGACGUAGAUAUCUGGAGGAACACCGGUGGCGAAGGACGGCGAUCCUGGACUGGUACUGACGCUCAUGAGCGAAGCGAUGGGGAGCGAGGUCCGGA
rnacentral:rRNA from 1 species